rnacentral:lncRNA from 7 species
AGAGGGGCAAUCACCCCCCAACUCCUGCUGACAACGCUAUUUCUGAUACUACCAGAGGAAAGAAUUCAUUUUACACCUAGGUAGAAUUUGGAGCAAAUGAAUUUGUCUACUAAAACCAAGCUUACUCAGCUUCAGUUCAGUUUAUCUGAAUUUUUAAGGCUAGGUCUGCCAGGGCCUUGUGCCACUCCACCACUAUCGCCAAGCUCCCGCUUUCUGCUGCCUCCCACAGACAGCUCUGCAGCUUGCAGUGAAGUUUUCUCAGCUGUUUAACAUCAUACCCAACCCACCCACAUGGAAAAAUCUUCAAGUAUCAACAGUCAUGGGUAUUUUGAAUAAAGAAAAAGGGGCUGAAACUCAGGCAGCGGCAGCAGCAAUGAACAUCCGCAGCAUAAUGAUGGUGCCCCGUUAAGCUCCUGCCAGCCGCCCAAAUAAUUGACUUCAGAACAAAAGGGAAACAUUUCCAUAGGCCUCGGGAGCAUUGAACUUCCCCCAGGAUACUGAGAAAUGUAAUAAAAAUAUACUGCCUUGUCAAAAGCCUUGUCAUUAUGCCCAAGCGACACAGAAAAGAGCAAACUAAAAACUAUUUCACUCCCUAACAUAUUUGAAGUUUAUUUAUUCUUCUAGGCACUUCAGGGAAGGAAUGCUGAGGUUCCCAGUAUCUAACUCAGAAGUGAUGGAAGGCACAGACAGCUCGUCCAGUUCCCAUUCUCCUCACUGCCUCUGUCCAGUUCUCCCAGUACCUGCUGGGCAGUCCUAACCCCUAAAUCAAUUGGGGUUGCUAUAUUUGCAAGCCGUAUUUCUGCAGACAUUUCUAUUAGGAAGGAUUCCUAAACUUGCUGCAUUUUGUCCUCACCUGUGUCCAUCAAGAUGUUCAAAUUUUUUAAAUAUUUGUGUAAAAAAAAAACAUAUUUGUUUCUUCAGUUGUAUUUGUGAUGAUGCAGUUCCUCUGAACUACAUCAGGCUGCAUUUAUCUGGAAAGCUAAUUUAAAUAUUUUUUCUUGUAGUGACCUUACAUUACACACUGCACCCUUACUUCCAUUGCGUCCUGACAGAUUUCUCCUUGCUACAUCCAUUGCAUGUGUGCCUGGGAGUCCUUCAGUGGCCUACUGAAGCCCUCUACUGGGCACUUCCUUUGUGGCUCAAAUAUUAAUCAGGUCAGAAGAAACAAUUCCUGAGGAAGUGCCACUUGCCUCCUGCAGACCUGAGAGAUGGUGGUUGAAUUGCAAACCUGAAAGAGAAUUUAGCUGCCGUACUCCAUCAACUUUCUACUUGAAUGUGUAUGAACAGAGCUUUGCAGCGAGCCAAAAGUAGGCAGGUUCACAUCCGAGGAGGAGUGCAGGCCUGAACAUGGACCCUCCUGCUCUCCAUCUCCCCGUCUUCCCCUCCACAACUUUCUUUUCCCUAUUCCAGAGGCAGUUUUCAAGUCUUGCCCCAUGACAAAGACAUCAGCACUUCUCAGCUUAGAGAAAUCUGAAGCCCUGAAUCCCAUGAAAUAUACAUGCACAUGAUGGUCUGAUCCUGAGUUCAGCUCUUCGGUUUACCAGACAGAAGUUACUGAAGUUCCAGCCAGUUUAGAAAUACUUAACACCACUGAUUGAUUGGAAAAAGUGUAGACCAAAUUCCAAUGUUGUCUUUAGGAUUGUGGAACACAGAUCCCUUUUCUUGAUGCCAGAAAGUGCUGGAGAUCCUUCUCAGCUAUUGUGUGUAUGAUACGUGUGCUGUCAUGCAAGCAAAAGAAGGAGCAGAGGAGGAGGCGCAUUUGUUCAUGUUGGGUGUUCUUGGAGGAUUUCUGGUGGUUACGCCCAGUGUACGUUGCCUUAACUCCUUUUUUCAUCUGACAGCCAAUUCUGAAGACAAUAGGGAAAUUUUUCACCAUCUGAGGAUUUGGCCAAUGGUUUGUUUGUUUGUUUGCUGUUUUUUGUUUGUUUGUUUGUUUGUUUGUUUUGCUCCCAAGUAACAAUAUACAAAUAAUAUGUAAGUAGAAUAUCUUACAUGUUAUGUUUC